UGGGUAUGAAGAUCCAUUACUGACUUGAAGAAUCUCAAGCAGCAGGUUACUACAAUCCAACAUGACCUUGUUAAGUUUGAUGUAUUGCUUAGUGGAGUUUCCUUAUCAAAGACUAUGCCAUAAGUUGCUUCUCAAGUGAAUUAAAACCAGAAAUCCAAAUACCAAUUAGGUUGUUCAACCCAAAGGAUAUGCAUCAGCCUACUCUUUGGUAAAAAAUGGAAGAAGCUUCUUUUUCUGGCCUUCAAAUCUCAACUAAGAAUCCACGGAGGUUCAUUUUACCUACCAGUGCUAAACCCUCACCACUACUACCUACACCAUGCUUACCAAUUACCACCACAGGAACUCUUUCUUGAAAAAUCAGACCUUAAUUGUUGCCUCAUGUUUGGGAGCAAGUUUUUGGAG
rnacentral:misc_RNA from 1 species